rnacentral:lncRNA from 1 species
GGACCGCACGUGAACUGCCCACUGUGUGAACCAGGGCCUCUCCGCGCAUGCUGCAUGUUGCACGCUCAUCCACGCUUGCAUGAGCCACGAUAAACAGCCUAUAGACCAUGACGGUCCAUGGGGAACGCGUGGACUCAUCUCCUUCCAUGGUUCGCGAUGGACCGCAUCAUGGACCGUGCAUAGGGCCACGCGCACCCCUGCGCAUCCUGGGCCAUGUCCGUGCACCCGUGCUGGCCUGCACGGGCAACAGGCCCUGCUAGGCACGUACUCUG